AAUAGAUACCCUGGUAGUCCACGCCGUAAACGAUGAGUGCUAAGUGUUAGGGGUUUCCGCCCCUUAGUGCUGCAGCUAACGCAUUAAGCACUCCGCCUGGGGAGUACGGCCGCAAGGCUGAAACUCAAAGGAAUUGACGGGGGCCCGCACAAGCGGUGGAGCAUGUGGUUUAAUUCGAAGCAACGCGAAGAACCUUACCAGGUCUUGACAUCUCCUGACCGCCCUGGAGACAGGGUCUUCCCUUCGGGGACAGGAUGACAGGUGGUGCAUGGUUGUCGUCAGCUCGUGUCGUGAGAUGUUGGGUUAAGUCCCGCAACGAGCGCAACCCUUGUCCUUAGUUGCCAGCAUUCAGUUGGGCACUCUAAGGAGACUGCCGGCUAAAAGUCGAAGGAAGGUGGGGAUGACGUCAAAUCAUCAUGCCCCUUAUGACCUGGGCUACACACGUGCUACAAUGGGCGGUACAGAGGGUCGCGAACCCGCGAGGGGAGCCAAUCCCAAAAAACCGCUCUCAGUUCGGAUUGCAGG
rnacentral:rRNA from 1 species